GAGCUUACUUCAGCAUCACCUAUACUAUAACUGGAAUAAUACAGAGAAGAUAAAGUCAACCCCUGAUUGAAGAAGACAUACAAAACCAUGAAACAUUCCAUAUUUUU